AUUGAACGCUGGCGGCAGGCCUAACACAUGCAAGUCGAACGAGUGGCGGACGGGUGAGUAAUGUCUGGGAAACUGCCCGAUGGAGGGGGAUAACUACUGGAAACGGUAGCUAAUACCGCAUACCAUCGGAUGUGCCCAGAUGGGAUUAGCUAGUAGGUGGGGUAACGGCUCACCUAGGCGACGAUCCCUAGCUGGUCUGAGAGGAUGACCAGCCAGACUGGAACGGAGACACGGUCCAGACUCCAACGGGAGGCAGCAUUGGGGAAUAUUGCACAAUGGGCGCAAGCCUGAUACAGCCAUGCCGCGUGUAUGAAGAAGGCAUUAGGGUUGUAAAGUACUUUCAGUGAGGAGGCGUUACUCGCAGAAGAAGCACCGGCUAAAUCCGUGCCAGCAGCCGCGGUAAUUC
rnacentral:rRNA from 1 species